rnacentral:rRNA from 1 species
ACGAACGCUGGCGGUGUGCUUCACACAUGCAAGUCGAACGAGGUAGCAAUACCUAGUGGCGGACGGGUGAGUAACGCGUGGGAAUCUGCCUUUGGAUGGGGGAUAACGGGUCGAAAGACUCGCUAAUACCGCAUAUGACGAAAGUUGAAAGGAGUAAUCCGUCUAAAGAUGAGCCCGCGUCCGAUUAGCUAGUUGGUAGAGUAAAAGCCUACCAAGGCGACGAUCGGUAGCUGGUCUGAGAGGAUGAUCAGCCACAAUGGGACUGAGACACGGCCCAUACUCCUACGGGAGGCAGCAGUGGGGAAUUUUACGCAAUGGGCGAAAGCCUGACGUAGCGACACCGCGUGAGCGAAGAAGCCCCUUGGGGUGUAAAGCUCUGUCAGCUGGAACGAAAAAAAUGACGGUACCAGCAGAGGAAGCAUCGGCUAACUACGU